GCAGAGCAUCGUGGCCGAGUGGUAAAGGUGAUGGACUAUAAAUCCAUUGGGAUCUUCCCGCACAGGCUCAAAUCCUGUCGACUGCU